GAGUUUGAUCCUGGCUCAGAUUGAACGCUGGCGGCAUGCCUUACACAUGCAAGUCGAACGGCAGCACGGGAGCUUGCUCCUGGUGGCGAGUGGCGAACGGGUGAGUAAUGCAUCGGAACGUAUCCUGGAGUGGGGGAUAACGUAGCGAAAGUUACGCUAAUACCGCAUAUUCUGUGAGCAGGAAAGCGGGGGGACCUUCGGGCCUCGCGCUCUUGGAGCGGCCGAUGUCGGAUUAGCUAGUUGGUGAGGUAAAGGCUCACCAAGGCGACGAUCCGUAGCAGGUCUGAGAGGAUGAUCUGCCACACUGGAACUGAGACACGGUCCAGACUCCUACGGGAGGCAGCAGUGGGGAAUUUGGACAAUGGGGGCAACCCUGAUCCAGCCAUGCCGCGUGAGUGAAGAAGGCC
rnacentral:rRNA from 1 species